ACUCCCAGUCUGUGCUUCUACUUUUACAGGACCUUAGAACUUUUCCACAAUGAGAGUUCUAGAAUGUAUGUUCCUCCUGGCUCUCAUCUCAGCUGUUCAGGGACAGUCACUCACCUCCUCUGAGCCAGUGGUGAACAGACCUAGAGAGUCAGUAACACUGUCCUGUGCUGUGUCUGGACUACCCCUGAGCUGGUUACACUGGAUCCGUCAGAAACCAGGGAAAGGACUAGAGUGGAUUGGGCGCAUUGACAGUGGCACUGGCACUAUAUUUGCCCAGUCUCUCCAGGGCCAGUUCACCAUCACCAAAGACAACUCCAAAAACCAGCUGUACUUAGAGGUGAAAAGCCUGAAGACUGAAGACUCUGCUGUUUAUUAUUGUGCCAGAGACACAGUGACACAGGAUCCUGCAGCGCCGUACAAAAACUGGUCAACACUGAACCUAGUCAGUGUUUCCUUGUCCCCACAACACCCCUCCGACCCCCUGGACGUCAAGGGAGCUCCCGCCUAUGCGGUCAGAUCCCUACAGGACUCCCAAUGUUGUGGGGGUCGGCUGCAGUACCUGGUGGACUGGAAGGGGUAUGGCCCAGAGGAGCGGUGUACGGUUCUGGUGGAGGACAUUCUGGAUCCCAACAUCAUCU